rnacentral:rRNA from 1 species
AUUGAACGCUGGCGGCAGGCCUAACACAUGCAAGUCGAGCGGAUGAAGGGAGCUUGCUCCUGGAUUCAGCGGCGGACGGGUGAGUAAUGCCUAGGAAUCUGCCUGGUAUUGGGGGAUAACGUCCGGAAACGGGCGCUAAUACCGCAUACGUCCUGAUGGAGAAAGGGGGGGAUCUUCGGACCUCACGCUAUCAGAUGAGCCUAGGUCGGAUUAGCUAGUUGGUGGGGUAAAGGCCUACCAAGGCGACGAUCCGUAACUGGUCUGAGAGGAUGAUCAGUCACACUGGAACUGAGACACGGUCCAGACUCCUACGGGAGGCAGCAGUAGGGAAUCUUGGACAAUGGGCGAAAGCCUGACCCAGCAAUGCCGCGUGUGUGAAGAAGGUCUUCGGAUUGUAAAGCACUUUAAGUUGGGAGGAAGGGCAGUAAGUUAAUACCUUGAUGUUUUGACGUUACCAACAGAAUAAGCACCGGCUAACUUCGUG